ACGGGGGGGGCAAGCGUUGUUCGGAAUUACUGGGCGUAAAGGGCUCGUAGGCGGCCAACUAAGUCACACGUGAAAUCCCUCGGCUCAACCGGGGAACUGCGUGUGAGACUGGAUGGCUUGAGUUUGGGAGAGGAAUGCGGAAUUCCAGGUGUAGCGGUGAAAUGCGUAGAUAUCUGGAGGAACACCGGUGGCGAAGGCGGCAUUCUGGACCAAUACUGACGCUGAGGAGCGAAAGCCAGGGGAGCAAACGGGA
rnacentral:rRNA from 1 species